rnacentral:rRNA from 1 species
UACAGAGGGUGCGAGCGUUAAUCGGAAUACUGGGCGUAAAGCGUGCGCAGGCGGUGAUGUAAGACAGAUGUGAAAUCCCCGGGCUCAACCUGGGAACUGCAUUUGUGACUGCAUCGCUGGAGUGCGGCAGAGGGGGAUGGAAUUCCGCGUGUAGCAGUGAAAUGCGUAGAUAUGCGGAGGAACACCGAUGGCGAAGGCAAUCCCCUGGGCCUGCACUGACGCUCAUGCACGAAAGCGUGGGAGCAAACAGG